AGCCUUAUAAAUACAUCCUUUUGCCGUCGUUCACUCUUCUCAUCUCAUAAAUUUUCGCAUAAACCAUCUCCCUAUCCCUCUCUUGCAAGAUGACCCGACCGCAAUCUCUCUGUUUCUAACCAGAAAUUGCUGCAGGCACGUAAGGUGGAGACUUCAAUUGUUUUCUAACGAUGAGUUCAAGGUAACUUGAAUGUGGAGGAUAUUUGAGUCAUGAGUCCAAUCCAGCCAAGGUACUUGUGAUGCGGGGGAUGAUUUCGUUGCAAACUACUUGGAGUACUACGACUAAAGCUUAUUGCUUGAGUCGUAGGGGUGUCAGACUUGGAUAGUCUCUUUUGAUGUAUAUUUUGCAUAUAGCUAGUGUGACUUGGAACACUUAGAUGAUAACCAUUCUUUUGUUAUGUAUAAUCUAUGCAUAAGCCUUAAAUAGAUAGACGUUAAUUGACUCUUUUGCGUAAUGGACAGUUUGUAUUUAUGAUGUUGACUUC